rnacentral:lncRNA from 1 species
ACCAAUCAAUUACACUUUUUAGCCCUAAUUUCACUAAAGAUUUGGAGGAGCAGAGCAAGGAAUCAAGAUCACGAGAAUUGCAGAUUUGAGUGAGGAUAAGGGUGGUGUUUUUGUGGCGACCCCAAAUCCAGGUACUUGAAACCCGAACUCGGUUCUCCACGAUACCAUUUCUUUAAGCUGAAUAAUACUAAAUAAUAAUAUAAUUCGAACUUAAUUUACAUACAUCAAAGUUUACUUUCCC